UAAAUUGACAGUCCGGCAGGCCACCGCCACACUAUGGCACAGUAAGGAGAAGCCGGUGCAAGUCCGGCACGGUCGCGCCACUGUAAUCCGCGUUCUGAACGUGGGAAGUCAGACCUCCAGCCACCUGUUUUCCUC
rnacentral:ncRNA from 2 species